GUUUUUGUAGUUGAAAUACAACGGUGGCUUUUCAAGCCACAGGUCUUGGAGAAAAGCCAAGCAGAAAUU
rnacentral:tRNA from 1 species